rnacentral:rRNA from 2 species
UGCAGUCGAGCGAAUGGAUUAAGAGCUUGCUCUUAUGAAGUUAGCGGCGGACGGGUGAGUAACACGUGGGUAACCUGCCCAUAAGACUGGGAUAACUCCGGGAAACCGGGGCUAAUACCGGAUAACAUUUUGAACCGCAUGGUUCGAAAUUGAAAGGCGGCUUCGGCUGUCACUUAUGGAUGGACCCGCGUCGCAUUAGCUAGUUGGUGAGGUAACGGCUCACCAAGGCAACGAUGCGUAGCCGACCUGAGAGGGUGAUCGGCCACACUGGGACUGAGACACGGCCCAGACUCCUACGGGAGGCAGCAGUAGGGAAUCUUCCGCAAUGGACGAAAGUCUGACGGAGCAACGCCGCGUGAGUGAUGAAGGCUUUCGGGUCGUAAAACUCUGUUGUUAGGGAAGAACAAGUGCUAGUUGAAUAAGCUGGCACCUUGACGGUACCUAACCAGAAAGCCACGGCUAACUACGUGCCAGCAGCCGCGGUAAUACGUAGGUGGCAAGCGUUAUCCGGAAUUAUUGGGCGUAAAGCGCGCGCAGGUGGUUUCUUAAGUCUGAUGUGAAAGCCCACGGCUCAACCGUGGAGGGUCAUUGGAAACUGGGAGACUUGAGUGCAGAAGAGGAAAGUGGAAUUCCAUGUGUAGCGGUGAAAUGCGUAGAGAUAUGGAGGAACACCAGUGGCGAAGGCGACUUUCUGGUCUGUAACUGACACUGAGGCGCGAAAGCGUGG